ensembl:miRNA
GUGGGCCUCCUGAAGGCAGGCAGAACCAUUGGGUGAAAAGAGCACUGGACUUGGAGUCAGAAGGCCCG